GAAGGCUAGGCUAGCCGGGCGACGGUUGUCCCGGUUUAAGCGUGUAGGGGGUGUGACCUGGUAAAUCCGGUUGCAUACUAACCCUGAGGCGUGAUGACGAUGCACUACGGUGCAGAAGUAGUUGAUGCCCUGCUUCCAGGAAAAUCCUCUAAGCUCCAGGUAACAUUAAAUCGUACCCCAAACCGACACAGGUGGUCAGGUAGAGAAUACCAAGGCGCUUGAGAGAACUCGGGUGAAGGAACUAGGCAAAAUGGUGCCGUAACUUCGGGAGAAGGCACGCUGGCAUGUAGGUGAAGUCCCUCGCGGAUGGAGCUGAAGCCAGUCGAAGAUACCAGCUGGCUGCAACUGUUUAAUAAAAACACAGCACUGUGCAAACACGAAAGUGGACGUAUACGGUGUGACGCCUGCCCGGUGCUGGAAGGUUAAUUGAUGGGGUCAGCCGCAAGGCGAAGCUCUUGAUCGAAGCCCCAGUAAACGGCGGCCGUAACUAUAACGGUCCUAAGGUAGCGAAAUUCCUUGUCGGGUAAGUUCCGAC
rnacentral:rRNA from 1 species